UAAGGGAGGUUCUACCGCUUAUUUUAGGCAUAGCAACCCUGCCAGAGUGAUUGCGGAGCUCCUGGCAAUGCACACCUGGAUCCGGAGCCUAAGAACUGGGGCUGUAUAAUUAGAAUAAGGCAGCCAGGCCCAUAACUUAGGGGUUACCAUUUGCCGCGAGUGCCGUGGAGAAUUUACCAUUCAGAAUCAAAAGUUAAGUGAGAACCAGUAUCUUUUUCUGCCCCUCCACCUGAUGACCCACAUUAACAGGGAAGUAGAUGAAGGGAUUCAGAUUUGGUAUGGCAUCGUCAUUCUACUGACAAGCCAUGGCUCGUUAACAAAAUUUACCAAGGACCACAGUUCUUUGCUGCGAUAUUUGCUGGGUUUUGCUGACCACAAUACCAUUUGAACUGGAAAUGUUGUUGCGAGAAGAAUCCGUCUUGGGAUACAAGCCUAAUAGCAAGAUCAGAGGGCAUGGUUCCCACGAAGGCUGUCCAAGGGAGAUUCAGCAACCUACUUGAUCAGCAUGGUUUCAAGAUCAUUAGGCUUGGGUGUCGCGGGG